GCCUGUAAGACUGGGAUAACUCCGGGAAACCGGGGCUAAUACCGGAUGCUUGAUUGAACCGCAUGGUUCAAUCAUGAAAGGCGGCUUCGGCUGCCGUUUACAGAUGGACCCGCGGCGCAUUAGCUAGUUGGUGAGGUAACGGCUCACCAAGGCGACGAUGCGUAGCCGACCUGAGAGGGUGAUCGGCCACACUGGGACUGAGACACGGCCCAGACUCCUACGGGAGGCAGCAGUGGUCAUA
rnacentral:rRNA from 1 species